AGUGAACGCUGGCGGUAGGCCUAACACAUGCAAGUCGAACGGCAGCACAGUAAGAGCUUGCUCUUACGGGUGGCGAGUGGCGGACGGGUGAGGAAUAUAUCGGAAUCUACUUUUUCGUGGGGGAUAACGUAGGGAAACUUACGCUAAUACCGCAUACGCCCUACGGGUGAAAGCAGGGGAUCUUCGGACCUUGCGCGAUUGAAUGAGCCGAUGUCGGAUUAGCUAGUUGGCGGGGUAAAGGCCCACCAAGGCGACGAUCCGUAGCUGGUCUGAGAGGAUGAUCGGCCACACUGGAACUGGGACACGGUCCAGACUCCUACGGGAGGCAGCAGUGGGGAAUAUUGGACAAUAGGCGCAAGCCUGAUCCAGCCAUACCGCGUGGGUGAAGAAGGCCUUCGGGUUGUAAAGCCCUUUUGUUGGGAAAGAAAAGCAGCAGGUUAAUACCCCGCUGUUCUGACGGUACCCAAAGAAUAAGCACCGGCUAACUUCGUG
rnacentral:rRNA from 1 species